rnacentral:rRNA from 1 species
CUACGUGCCAGCAGCCGCGGUAAUACGUAUGUCGCAAGCGUUAUCCGGAAUUAUUGGGCUUAAAGGGCAUCUAGGCGGUUUUUCAAGUCAGGGGUGAAAACUUAUGGCUCAACUAUAAGCUUGCCUUUGAAACUGAAAGACUAGAGUACUGGAAAGGUGGGUGGAACUACACGAGUAGAGGUGAAAUUCGUAGAUAUGUGUAGGAAUGCCGAUGAUGAAGAUAACUCACUGGACAGAAACUGACGCUGAAGUGCGAAAGCUAGGGGAGCAAACAGGAUUAGAUACCCUGGUAGUCCUAGCUGUAAACGAUGAUCACUGGGUGUGGGGAUGAAUAGUCUCUGUGCCGAAGCAAAAGCGAUAAGUGAUCCGCCUGGGGAGUACGUACGCAAGUAUGAAACUCAAAGGAAUUGACGGGGACCCGCACAAGUGGUGGAGCAUGUGGUUUAAUUCGACGCAACGCGAGGAACCUUACCAGGUCUUGACAUAC